GUAAGGCUUUGCAAUCCUAAUGAAGGGAAAUGGAGAUGGGGUGGGGGUGGGGAAAUCUUCAAAUUCUUCCCCCCAACAACACUUUAAAAAAAGACAGGACAAAAGAAGAAUGCGGUUCUAUAUGCACAUUUCUUUGUAGCCCUCUGACGAAGUACCUCAAAAGCUAAGCUCCCAUCAAUCCUGGAGAGAUAGGAUCGGCAGAGCAUAGUAGCUGAAUGAAUGGUUUAAAAGGAACAGCAGCGACCAAAGAACUUUUUAUGCAAAGACACCCCAAAUCUGGGGCAAAGACCUCCUGUUCAUUUUAUCUCAUAGAAGGUUGAAGAUCUCCUCGAAGGUCAUUUGUGGCACAGAAAACCAGGGUUGGCUCUGUCUGCAGAAUCCAAGAUGUCAUCAAGCCAGAAAGGGAGUAUCUGUCAACUUUCAAAGAAGUUUGAGCAAGAGGAAAUAAUACUUGGGGUGUUCCCUGAAUGAACAAGAAACCCCCAUUUGCCCAAUUUGGUACAGAUUCCUUAAGACACAUUCAUCUCCAACUCUCCCCUGUGAAAGAGCUGCAUAACCAGUCAAAGAACAAGUAUAUAGGAUUAGCACAUUAUGAAGAAUAAAGAGAAGCUUUCAGCUCUCUGUCAUGGAUGAUAUUUAUCACAUUCUUCACGACUGGCUCUAAUAACAGUGCAGAGAUAAAAUAGGUUUGAUGCAUCUCUCCUGUACGAGAAUUUUACAACUGCAACUAUAAGAAAUCCAGGAGAUGAAACACGUACUUCUCCCCUCUUGCAGAUUUUAUUAGUCUUAAAAAUGAGAGGUGUGUGUGGUGGGGAGACUAUUUCUACAAAAGUGGGCUUGGAUUUGCUGUCUGUUAUGCUAAUGUAUUCAUAGGAAAAGCUGGUGCUGAGGGCGGUUCUCCAAUUAAGACAAAUGAGGCACAUUGAAUUUCUCCCCCAGGGCACAGCAGGGGUGCUGGCAAAAUCUACUUUAUUCUUUUCUGUCAGGACUGAACUGGAAACAAAAGCAUGAAAAUUCAACACAUCCACUUACAGAAUAAUAAAGGCUGUUGUUUAAAGCGUGAAGAGUUUUGGCACCCUUCUGGGGCCUUAUGCAAAUCGCUCUUCCUCUCAACUGCUACCACACCAUCGUUCUUGGAAAUUAAAGAUGUACUUGGUCGGUUAACAGCUGAAAGGAGAAGAGCAGCCUGAAACUCAAUUAGAUUUGUAUUAAGCAAAUAAAUCAGGACUGACUGAUAUUGGCUAAACUAAAAUGCAUUAUGGGCUGACAGUAAUUCUAAUUUGAUUGACAAAUACAUGUUGUAUGUUAUUAACCUAAGUGAAAGAUAAGAAUCUUUUUUUUUUUUUUAAGGAUUUUGUUCUGGUAAACAAUCCUGUUUCUCCUUAAACUUGCUCAAAACAUUAAAGAGAGAAUACUAACUCGGUACUCUUUAAAAUCCGUGCUCUAGAACACAGGAAAUCUAUUUUGUUACAUGCUAAGAGUUUAAGACAAAAUUAAUCUGUUGAAAGACAUUUGUUUUCAUGGAUUUAUUUGGUGUCUUGUGACAUCUCAACACAUCAUUUGUCUGCGGAAUGGAGCGCACCAAGCACUAUUAUUAAGGUAGCCAAUGCCAAACCACAGACCUGCAUGUGGCCCAUUACUUAUCUGGAGCUCUGCGGUACUUGAUGCUUUUCUGCACUAAGACAUUGUGAGGUUCAAAGUCAUGAAUGAAGGUUUUAAUCAAACCCUCCAGUGCUUUGCAGGGGGUGAAAAGUAAACUAUUUACAUAGAGCAUGAAUGUGUUAGUGUGUGCUUAGAUGAACAGGAGCUUUUGCCUUGAGAAAAGAAUUCUGGGAGUUUUCUUUGUAACUUAUUUCCUUGUCUUUGUUGUUUACACUUUUCAACCUUAAAAAGAUAUAGGUGAUUCCAUUUAACAUCUUGAUAAAUUAUAAGGAAGUACUAACUUAAUACUUCUGCUUUGACAGUACCAUCUUCUGUUUUCUUCCUGGCUUGCUUUUCUGACUGGCUACCAGAUUAAAGAGUCAUUGUUAUCUUUCAGUUAUCUUUUCUUCUAUCUUUUCCUUCCAGGCUCUGUUUGCCAAAUCAUGCUGCACUUUAUACCAUGUAGGUGCCAGGAACUAUCUUCCCUCAGAAACCUGUCCCAACACUGUCCCUUGUGUGGGCUGCCUCCUGCUGCUGCUCUUGUCAACACCUGCUCUUCAGUCUUCUCUUUCUCCUCUCUGAGCAAAUCUAAGAUACUUAGCCAAAAUAGUUUUCCUGGACACCCAAUGCCAAUUAGUCCUCCCUGUCAUGAUCAAUAGUACUCCUCAUUGAUACUAAGAGAGACGGAAGAACAUCACAGAAUGAGAUUUUAUGAAUUGCCGAGAUUCACAAGGAAUUAUGUCCAUUCUCAGAAUAAAUUCUGCAUUUUAAACUUUCCAAACAUUUGCCCUCUCAGACCUUCCAGCUCUGUUCUCACUUACUUCUUCUUCUUCCUUGGCACAGCUGGCCACUGGCCAUCAGGUGGACUCCUUUUUCUGUCUCAUCUUGCAUCUAGUUUUUGUUUUCUUGCCUCCAUCUCUUAAAAGUAAUCUGAUGUUAGUUUUUUAAACUUCAAUAUUCCAUCCAAACACUCCUAUAUAAUUUACUAACAACAAUCGCUACUACUUGUUGUAGGUUUAGAAUAACUUUGUUCCAUAAUGUUGAUAUGGCACCUUAGUUUAUUGAAUAUUUUAAGAUGAAGGAAUUUCAAGAAGUAACACAUGCAGGAAGGGCUUCCUGACCUUCCUUAAAAUGGGUCCUAAGACCCUUCAUUCGAGAGGUGCCCUUCCUUAUCUCCAAAAACACAUUUAAGGAAAUCCUUAUCUAUAAAGACAAAGGGGAGAGCCCUAAUAUCCAGAGUAUACAAAGAACUCAAAAAAUUAAACAAUAAGAAAACAAAUAACCCAAUCAACAAAUGGGCCAAAGACCUGAACAGACACUUCUCAGAGGAGGACAUACAAUCAAUCAAUAAGUACAUGAAAAAAUGCUCACCAUCUCUAGCAGUCAGAGAAAUGCAAAUCAAAACCACCCUAAGAUACCAUCUCACUCCAGUAAGAUUGGCAGCCAUUAUGAAGUCAAACAACAACAAGUGCUGGAGAGGAUGUGGGGAAGAGGGUACUCUUGUACAUUGCUGGUGGGACUGCAAACUGGUGCGGCCAAUCUGGAAAGCAGUAUGGAGAUUCCUGGGAAAGCUGGGAAUGGAACCAC